GAGGUAACAACCGGCAGACGGGUGAGUAACGCGUAGGAAUCUACCCCUAGGAGGAACAUAGCCAUUCGAAAGGAUGGGUAAUUUUCCAUAGUCUCUAACGAGUAAAGGACUUAACGGUCCGCCAAGGGAGGAGCCUGCGUUCUAUCAGCUUGUUGGUGAGGUAAAAGCUCACCAAGGCAAUGACGGAUAGCUGGACUGAGAGGUCGAUCAGCCACAACUGCACUGAAACACGGGCAGUACACCUACGGGUGGCAGCAACCAGGAAUAUUGCGCAAUGGGGGAAACCCUGACGCAGCGACGCCGCGUGAAGGAAGAAGGCCCAAGGGUCGUAAACUUCUUUUGCUAAGCCGUUCACAGCUUAGAGAAUAAGUCUCUACUAACUACGUGCCAGAAGUCUCGGUAAUACGUAGGAGACAAGCAUUAUCCGGAUUCAUUGGGCGUAAAGAGUGCGUAGGCGGUAUAGUGUGUCGUAUCUUAAAGACCAAGGCUUAACCUCGGAUAUGGAUACGAAACUACUAUACUAGAGGAUUGACAAGGAUGCUAGAACAGUUAGUGUAGCAGUGAAAUGCGUUGAUAUUAACUGGAAUACCAAA
rnacentral:rRNA from 1 species